AGAGUUUGAUCCUGGCUCAGGAUGAACGCUAGCGGGAGGCUUAACACAUGCAAGUCGAGGGGCAGCACGAGUAGCAAUACUUGGUGGCGACCGGCGGACGGGUGAGUAACGCGUAUGCAACCUACCAUUUACCGGGAAAUAGCUCGAAGAAAUUUGAAUUAAUGUCACAUAGUAUCUAAGAGUAGCAUUAUUUUUAGAUUAAAGAUUUAUUGGUAAAUGAUGGGCAUGCGUCCCAUUAGUUAGUUGGCGAGGUAACGGCUCACCAAGACUACGAUGGGUAUGGGGUCUAAAAGGAUGGUCCCACACACUGGCACUGAGAUACGGGCCAGACUCCUACGGGAGGCAGCAGUGAGGAAUAUUGGUCAAUGGGCGAGAGCCUGAACCAGCCAUCCCGCGUGCAGGAAGAAUGUCCUAUGGAUUGUAAACUGCUUUUCCACUAGAAGAAUAAGAGCUACGUGUAGCUUUACGACGGUAUAGUGGGAAUAAGCAUCGGCUAACUCCGUGCCAGCAGCCGCGGUAAUACGGAGGAUGCGAGCGUUAUCCGGAUUUAUUAGGUUUAAAGGGUGCGUAGGCGGUAUUUUAAGUCAGUGGUGAAAGAUUGUAGCUCAACUAUGAUAAGCCAUAGAAACUGGAAUACUUGAGUGCAGAUGAGGUAGGCGGAAUGUGUUGUGUAGCGGUGAAAUGCAUAGAUAUAACACAGAACACCAAUUGCGAAGGCAGCUUACUAAAGUAUAACUGACGCUGAGGCACGAAAGCGUGGGGAUCGAACAGGAUUAGAUACCCUGGUAGUCCACGCUGUAAACGAUGUUCACUCGUUGUUGGCGAUAAACAGUCAGCGACUAAGCGAAAGCGAUAAGUGAACCACCUGGGGAGUACGGCGGCAACGCUGAAACUCAAAGGAAUUGACGG
rnacentral:rRNA from 1 species